rnacentral:rRNA from 1 species
GACGAACGCUGGCGGCGUGCUUAACACAUGCAAGUCGAACGGAAAGGCCCUGCUUUUGUGGGGUGCUCGAGUGGCGAACGGGUGAGUAACACGUGAGUAACCUGCCCUUGACUUUGGGAUAACUUCAGGAAACUGGGGCUAAUACCGGAUAGGAGCUCCUGCUGCAUGGGGGGGGUUGGAAAGUUUCGGCGGUUGGGGAUGGACUCGCGGCUUAUCAGCUUGUUGGGGGGGUAGUGGCUUACCAAGGCUUUGACGGGUAGCCGGCCUGAGAGGGUGACCGGCCACAUUGGGACUGAGAUACGGCCCAGACUCCUACGGGAGGCAGCAGUGGGGAAUAUUGCACAAUGGGCGGAAGCCUGAUGCAGCAACGCCGCGUGCGGGAUGACGGCCUUCGGGUUGUAAACCGCUUUCGCCUGUGACGAAGCGUGAGUGAUGGUAAUGGGUAAAGAAGCACCGGCUAACUACGUG